UAGCGUCGGGCUUGGUUGGGUCGGCAGGUGACUCACUUGUCCAUUCACUGGGCUAUGAGUGUUACUAGCCGGCUGUGGCGGAUGUGUGUGGUGCGUCGGAGUUGGCGGCUAUGCAUGCGUGCUCUGUCCUUCGGGCGAGGUUUGAGUCUGGUCGACCUGUUGCUAGCUUCGGCUGGUCGGUUGAUGGCUUGGUCUUGUUCCGUUGGCGGUUGCGUGUGUGUUUUAGUUUGGGCCGAUAGUCUGUGGUGUAGUGGUAGACGAUCCACCUGACCCGUCUUGAAACACGGACCAAGGA
rnacentral:rRNA from 1 species